GACGAACGCUGGCGGCGUGCUUAACACAUGCAAGUCGAACGAAGUGGCGAACGGGUGAGUAACGCGUAAUCAACCUGCCCUUCAGAGGGGGACAACAGUUGGAAACGACUGCUAAUACCGCAUACUGAAGGAGGGGAUUGCGUCUGAUUAGUUGGUUGGAGGGGUAACGGCCCGCCAAGGCGAUGAUCGGUAGCCGGUGUGGGAGGAGGAACGGCAACAAUGGGAAUGUGAAACGGGCCAGACGGCUACGGGAGGCAGCAGUGGGGAAUCUUCCGGAAUGGACGAAAGUCUGACGGGGCAACGCCGGGUGCGUGAUGACGGCCUUCGGGUUGUAAAGCUCUGUUAAUCGGGACGCGGUACCGGAAUAGAAAGCCACGGCUAACUACGUGCCAGCAGCCGCGGUAAUUC
rnacentral:rRNA from 1 species